rnacentral:rRNA from 1 species
UUCGGCGUCGAGAGGGUCACACGCGUUCCCAUCCCGAACACGGAAGUUCCGGCCUCUUGGAGCCAAUGGUACUGCGCGGGCAACUGCGUGGGAGAGUAGGAAGCCGCCGGGA